rnacentral:rRNA from 1 species
CGCCUAGGCGGGGAGUUAAGUUAGGUGUGAAAUCUAUGGGCUCAACUCAUAAACUGCAUCUAAAACUGAUUCUCUUGAGUUCGGGAGAGGAAAGCGGAAUUCCCGGUGUAACGGCGAAAUGUGUAGAUAUCGGGAGGAACACCAGUGGCGAAGGCGGCUUUCUGGCCUAGAACUGACGCUGAAGCGCGAAAGCGCGGGUAGCGAAC